UACGUAGGGGGCGAGCGUUGUCCGGAUUUAUUGGGCGUAAAGAGCUCGUAGGCGGCUUGGCAAGUCGGGUGUGAAACCUCCAGGCUCAACCUGGAGACGCCACUCGAUACUGCUAUGGCUAGAGUCCGGUAGGGGACCACGGAAUUCCUGGUGUAGCGGUGAAAUGCGUAGAUAUCUGGAGGAACACCGGUGGCGAAGGCGGCAUCCUGGACCGGCAUUGACGCUGAGGCGCGAAAGCCAGGGGAGCAAACGGG
rnacentral:rRNA from 1 species